AGGGAAUAUUCUGUGUCAUUGCGCUGAAAUUGUUGUGGAAGUUGGAGACUUGUCUACAUAUAUGGCUGCUAUUAUUCUUCAGAAACGUAAAUAUAUUUGAUUCCAUCUCGUCAUGGCCGGAAAGAUAGAUGACGCAUAUGAGCUACUACUUAAAACGUACCGCAAUAUUUCGAUGAAAUGCCUUCUGUCUUGCGUACCAACGCAAACAGAAAUGAAGCCGAGACGUGGAGAGGUUCUGUGUGCUGAAUAUUGUAUUGCAUGUGAAAUGCAGCAGUUGAGGAAAUCUGUAAUCAACAAACUACCACAGACAAGGAAG